rnacentral:rRNA from 1 species
AGCGAACGCUGGCGGCAGGCCUAACACAUGCAAGUCGAACGAACUCUUCGGAGUUAGUGGCGGACGGGUGAGUAACACGUGGGAACGUGCCUUUUGGUUCGGAAUAACUCAGGGAAACUUGUGCUAAUACCGAAUGUGCCCUUCGGGGGAAAGAUUUAUCGCCAUUAGAGCGGCCCGCGUCUGAUUAGCUAGUUGGUGAGGUAACGGCUCACCAAGGCGACGAUCAGUAGCUGGUCUGAGAGGAUGACCAGCCACACUGGGACUGAGACACGGCCCAGACUCCUACGGGAGGCAGCAGUGGGGAAUCUUGCGCAAUGGGCGAAAGCCUGACGCAGCCAUGCCGCGUGAAUGAUGAAGGUCUUAGGAUUGUAAAAUUCUUUCACCGGGGACGAUAAUGACGGUACCCGGAGAAGUAGCCCCGGCUAACUUCGUG